GUUACCAGUUGUCAGGUCAGGCACACGAACUGUCAGGUCAGGUCGAGUCAAUGCACGGACCCUUCACCUUAAAACGUAGCGUUGGCCCCUUUUAUUUUUUGGUCAGAUUUAUUUUAGUUCAUUGUUAACCCCUUUUUCAGAAAAAAAUGUCAGCUUUCAAAGAAACAACCUUCUUUUUCCCAAGUUCUGACGGUCGCCCGCCGUCGCUGCCUCCACCGUCGGUUGCCGCUUAACAACGUUGGCAUUGGCCCAAAAUUUACCCACAAACUCUUCUCGGCCCCUUCUUUAUUGUUCUCUAGUUAGAUUUCCCGAAAAUCCACCCAAGACUCCCAAAUCUGAGCUAGACAGUCGCAGGUGUGAACCAAAAAAUCUCCACCAUCCAUUGCUCCAACGGCUGCCAUUUCAAACUAUGCUCUUACUUAAGCCGAAACCUUUCUCCUCACUACAAACUAAACCCCGAAUCUCCUUGGAAUCUCCCAAAAUCAAAAACCGAAAACCCUUUUUUAUUGCGAUUCUAUGCAAAUAUAUUUUGUGGUUUGUUGUUGCUGCGGCUUCCUCUACGAGGAAUAUGGUUUUUAUUUUUGUUUUGGUUUUUUUUUUUUAAGUGCUAUGGGUCUCGGGAUUCUUUUUUGUUGUUAUUUUUUGGGUUUAUCGUGGUAGUAUAUGGAUGCCAAUGGUGGGGGUGUUUAUGAAAGGGUGUGGGAUUUUGUAAUGGUGUGGGCUUUGUGGUGGUUGAGGGCUGGUGUUGUUUUGGGUGGACUGGCUUCGGUUAUUGGGUGAUUCAGGUGCAAGAAGUUGUAAGGGAUGGGAAAUAUGGCUAUGGUUGGUGACAGUGAAGGAAUUUGGUCAGUUUGCUAGAGAUUGCUGAGGUAGUUUUUGGCUAUGGGGAAGGGUUGGGUUCCUCUAGCUUUUUUCUGAGGUAGUAUCCAAAAUCCUUUUUUUUUCCAGCCGAAUUGUCCUAGAGUUGAUAAUUUGGUUCCGUGAAUACAGAAGGGUCUGGACUGGUCUUGGACUGAGAGAUUCAAUUCUUUUGACUUUUGUUCCAGCCUGUGAUGAUGAUCUGUGGGCGUAAUAUGCUGAUUCCUGGAUGGGUGAAUUUGUUUGUAGGCAAAACAAUUUGCCGUUUGGUCAAGUAGUAUUGAAAGUAAAUGGGGUAAAACCUAGAGGAUAAAACAUGAAAAUCUCAAAUUAGUGAGGCAGUAUGGGGUGUGGAGUCUGGGAAGCUAGGAAAGCUUGCUGCCAUAGGUGAAGGGGGUGGUGCAGAGCUUGGGUCAAUGGGAUUUUAAUCAUCUCAUGUUAACCGGAGAAAGGGGCCAUAUUGAAAAGAUGAAUAAGAGCUGAAAAGAGCUGAAAAUAGAAAGGCCAAGGGUGGAGCUAACAUGAGAGGAGAACAAAGCCGAGCAUGAAAUAAUUGCUCUGAUAAAAACGUGAAUGUCCCAGCUUAGAUUUUUAUUUUUUUGUUUUUUUAGCAUACUACAAACACAUUACUAAAAUUAGGAUAUAAAUAACAAAAGAAUAGACUUCUCAUAGGCUAUUUCUUGUUUUGGGCUCCUAAAUUAGGACCCAAUUUGCAAUAAGCUGGAGUAAAAGAAAAUAAAAUAGACGGGCCCAAAUAGAAAUAGUCUUACUUGAAUCACAAUUAAAUGAGUCCAAAUUUUUGAAAAAAUUUUUUUUUUUAAUUUUGGAAAGAAACUGAGACUCGAAAUCACUUGAAUUAAAUCAGAGAAAAUGGGUGUAUGCAUAUAUAAGAUAAAAAAUUAAAAAAAA
rnacentral:lncRNA from 1 species